AUUGAACGCUGGCGGCAGGCCUAACACAUGCAAGUCGAGCGGAUGAAGGGAGCUUGCUCCUGGAUUCAGCGGCGGACGGGUAAGUAAUGCCUAAGAAUCUGCCUGGUAGUGGGGGCUAAAGUCCGGAAACGGGCGCUAAUACCGCAUACGUCCUGAGGGAGAAAGUGGGGGAUCUUCGCACCUCACGCUAUCAGAUGAGCCUAGGUCGGAUUAGCUAGUUGUUGGGGUAAAGGCCUACCAAGGCGACGAUCCGUAACUGGUCUGAGAGGAUGACCAGGCACACUGGAACUGAGACACGGUCCAGACUCCUGCGGGAGGCAGCAGUGGGGAAUAUUGGACAAUGGGCGAAAUGCUGAUCCAGCGAUGCCGCGUGUGUGAAGAAGGUCUUCGGAUUGUAAAGCACUUUAAGUUGGGAGGAAGGGCAGUAAGUUAAUACCUUGCUGUUUUGACGGGACCAACAGAAUAAGCACCGGCUAACUUCGUG
rnacentral:rRNA from 1 species